GUUUAUUAAUAAUAAUACAUUAUAAAAGACAAAAUAUAAAUCUGUAUAAAACUUAAAAGUAUGCCCUAGAACCAUUAUCAUUAUAAAACAUAAAAUGCUGUAAUUGAAAAAUAUUUCUACAUGUACAUCUGAAUCUCCAGAAAACUAUGACACAAUAUAAGGUUCCAAUGUUGGUGUACUGUUUGUCCUUGAAUGAACCUAAACCUAAGAAGUAAGGGCUUUGAUAUUGACCAUUACUACAAUAUAUAGCUUAAGAAUUUAAACAUAUGAUGCAUGAAAUAGUCUACAACAUGAAAUAUCAUUCAUCAAAUACAGUAGUACAUUUCAAAAUUACUGUUUAAAGAUAAUUUUAAAAAAUAAUUGUGGUAAUCUCCAAAGGAACAUAAAAUUCUAAAAUAAACAGAUGUGAUGUUGUUGCCAAUUAGACACCAAUCCCACAAAAAACAAGUGAAAAGGAUUUUAACAACUACAAGACAAAAAAAUCAACUCUGAAAUUUGUAACUUAGAUUUCUACAAAAAAAGCUAAACUUUCUUCACUUUCUUUU
rnacentral:lncRNA from 1 species